AAAGUCGUAACAAGGUUUCCGUAGGUGAACCUGCGGAAGGAUCAUUAACACGUAUCCAACGUUAAACCCCCCUGUGAACCUUCAGUGUGCUCGUACGCUUUGUUAGAAAGUAGCAAUCCCUGGUAAAUCAUCGCCGAACAGUUUUGAUUCAGGGACUUCUGCGAAGAGUGUGCUUGUAGCGCGAGGCAAGUGGCCUGGCAUUCCUCUGCUUGUUAGUGUCUGAAAGUGUCACUAGCUCUGUACGGAUGGCGCAGUCACGAUCGCUAGAGGCCAACACGGCCGGCGACCGGGUCACCGGGCUCACGCCCCCUAAUAACCUUUGCAUGAAAACGGGCCUGCGCUUAAUUGUGCGGCCACCAAACUCGAACAACUGUUAACAAUGGAUAUCUUGGUUCUC
rnacentral:misc_RNA from 1 species